CACCAAAAAAAUUCUAUAAAUAUAAAUAUGCAAAUACACACACACACACACCCCCCAACUGCCAUUUCAAAUAUAAACCUAAAAUAGUAGCUCCAGUCUUCCCAAUCUAAGCUGCUGCCAAUCCACCCCACCUCCAUUAUUCCAGCUCCUGCUGGCCUCUGGUAACAUACAGUUUCUUCCUCUUGUCUCUUCACACUUACGGUUGGUAAUGGCUUCCUGCUGUUGAAGUUUCUUUGUGCCUCAUCAUCACUUCUUUGUUCCCUCAGCCCUGACCACACCUCUGCAAGAGAUGCCAACAUAGUCUCAAGUGUCCACCUGAUCCAAGAAGCUCACUCCUCACCAGCAUCCCUCUCCAACCCAUUGUCCAGUCCAGUCCAUGUCUGAAGAGUUGGCUUUGGGAAUGGUUCCUGACUGGGCCAACAAAAGGUCUGGGGGCCAGGACCACCGGGGUCCUUCCAGUCUCAGUCAGACCAUUAAGUCUGGUCUUAUGAGAAUUUGGGGUCUGCAUCGCACAGCUCUCCUGCUCCCUCAGGAGUUCUCUGUUGUGUUCCCUGUCAGGGCAGUCAUCAGUUGUAGCCGGGCACCAUCUAGUUCUUCUGGUCUUAGGAUGAUGUAGUCUCUGGUUCACGUGGCCCUUUCUGUCUCUUGGGCUCGUAAUCACCUUGUGUCCUUGGUGUUCCUCAUUCUCCUUUGAUCCAGAUGGGAUGAGACCAAUUGAUGCAUCUUAGACAGCUGCUUGCUAGCGUUUAAGACCCCAGACGCCACUCAAGACAAGAGAUCACCAUUCGGUAAUCUCAAAUUAGUCACCAGCCUGUUUCUUUCCAACUUGCUAAACUCUUUUUUUUUGGGGGGGGGGGUAAUAAAUAAGAUUAAAUCCCUUUAAUCUACAUGAAAUGGCACAACAUAGUUCUUAAAGACAAUGCUCUACAUCCUACUUUGGUGAAUAGUGUCUAGGAUCUUAAAAGCUUAUGAGCGGCCAUCUGAGAUACAGCUAUUGGUCUCUUCCAGUCUGGAGCAAAGCAGAGUGAGAAAAACCAAAGACUCAAGGGAGCAACGAGUUCAAAGGACUAAUGGACCACAUGAACCACAGCCUACACGACCCCAAGACCAGAAGAACUAGAUGGUGCCUGGCUACUACUACCUACUGCUGUUACUGGGAUUACAAGAGGGUCCCAUACAGAGCAGGAGUAAAAUGUAGAAUAAAAGAUGAAAGUCACAAACAAGACCAGACUUACUGGUGUGACAGAGAAUGGAGGAUCUCUGAGACCCUGUCCCUAAGAUACCCUUCUGACCUGAACUAAAGCUGUUCCUGGAGACCACCUUCCAGCCAAACAGACGAGCCCAUAAAAUAAACAAUAACACCUGAGAUGAACGUGCUCCUUAAAACAAUCAAUUAUGAGAGAUCAAAAGGCAAUAUUUGCCCAAAAGCAAAAAUGAGAAGGCAGGAAGGGGUAGAAAAUCAAGAUGAAAAGAAAUGGGGAAUCUAGGGUGGAAACUGGGAGAGUGCUGACACAUUGUGGGGAAUGACGCUAAGGCCAUGAAAUACUUUAUGUACAAUCGGAUAGGAAUCUAAUCUGCUCUGAAAAGUUUCACCUGAUGCACAAAAAAAAAAAAGCUUAAGUUCCUUUAAUUGGAUUCAGACUAAGGAAAUCUACAAGCUGAGUUAAGAGAAACUACAAAGUCAGCUCACUAGGUCCAGAGUGGAUAUUCCUGGCCUUUGUGAAUUCAAACUGGAACCCCAUAUACUCCUUCUAAACGACACCAUUUAUGCCACUAGUUAGACUUUCCGCAUUCUUGAAUGCAGUGGCCUUUACACAAGGCAGUGACAGUAGCAUUAGUUGGUUUAAUUGAAUUACAUACAGAAUUACUUUAUCAGUGUGAAACUGUAGUCUUUUCCACCAGAAAGGAACGGUCCAAAGAGGUACCCCACUGUCUUUUAAAACAAUGCAGGGCACUGCAAUGAAACCUGCAAUGAACAGGACUCCAAGAGUCCCAAGCUUGGCCAGUGAACCAAGUCCACUGAGGACUAUCAAUGUAAAUACAUAUAGUCAUAAGAAGUAGGGGGACUCUAUUUUAAUUACCCAAGCAUGGCCUACCACAAGUCUGAUUUUUCCCAAAUGGUUGCAUUUUAAUUACCCAAGCAUGGCCUACCACAAGUCUGAUUUUUCCCAAAUGGUUGCAUUUCCCAAAUAGGUAUUACCAAAUGUGCAGUAAGUUGUAUCCUUCGCCACCAGAGGGCGCAGUCUUCCACUCUAGGCUUGCCCAGAAAAACUGACGAAGGACAUCUGGGGAAAGUCGGCUCACGAUCCCAGUCAUCUAUAACAGCAAUCGCUGCCAGAAGUAACUGAGUCAAGGGAACCAAAAUGGGAAGUGAGAAACUAUCUAGAAACCUAAAUAAUUAUGGGACCUUAAAUUUUAAUCCUCAAGUUCCCCUCUCAUGUACAUAUUCAGCAUUUUCCAGGUCUUCAACAAUUAUUUCCCCCUUUUCGGUUUGUUUCCCCAUAUGGCCAAAUGUAUUUUAUAUUUAUUUUUUCUCGGUUUUUGGGUUAGUAGAUUAUGAAAUAAUGAUAAAUGGCUCUAGCUUAAUUGAUGGGUUAUCAUCAAAUGGCUCCCCAAUACAUCGUAAACAAAAUAUCUUGAAAACUGUCAUUUCAGAACUCUAUGUCUACAUAUUAAUUUUCCUAACCUAGGAUUCUUUUCUAUCUCAAUCCAAUAAAUAAGGUAAUUCUAUUUCUACUUCUUUCUCCCAUGUUUUGGCAAAAAUAGAUUAAGAACUUCUCAUUGCUGUUUCAUUGGGUCCUUUCAAGUGGAUCUGAAUGUGUCCAUUUUAUUGGCCAGAUCCUUACAUAUGUAUCAUCCUUACCCAUCCCUUGGUCCUGUUCACCAUGGAAACAAUGCAUGAUGAGGGGACAGAAGCAAGGAUGAAAUUCAAAACCAGGGUAGUAAGCAUGUGAGCUGAUGCUAGGGCUAGAGGAGAAGGGAGAUUCAGGGGGUUAUCAGUCUCAAAUAACCUAGAGCUAUGCUAGCCAGUAUGGUAGUCAUUAGCCACAUGUGGCUAUUUAAAUUUAAAUUAAUUAAAAUAAAAUUUAAAAUUCAGUUCCUCGGUUGCAUUAGCCACAUUUUUUUUUAAUUUUUACUGUGCUUUAAGUGAAAGUUUACAAAUCAAGUCAGUCUCUCACACAAAAACUUACAUACACCUUGCUACAUACUCCCAAUUGCUCUCCCCCUAGUGAGACAGCCUGCUCCCUCCCUCCAUUCUCUCUUUUCGUGUCCAUUUCACCAGCUUCUAACCCCCUCUACCAUCUCAUCUCCCCUCCAGGGAGGAAAUGUCAACAUAGUCUCAAGUUGCACUAGCCACAUUUUAAGUGCACAGUAGCCGCAUGUGACUAAUUACCCACCGUAUUGGGCAGUGCAGAUAGAUACAAACCUUUCCAUCAUCAUAAAAAGCUCUAUUGAACAGUGUUAAUCUAGAGACUAGGGAUUUAAUUAAUACCCAUAUGGGGCAAAAGAUAAGGCCAUGGACACCAAACACACACACACACACACACAGUGGCCACAGUGGAAAGAUGAAUUUCUUUUAAUCUGCACCAACCUAAGGAAAUUACAAGAACCUUGUUUGUCUUGGCCUGGGUUCUGGGUAGGAAAUAUAGUCUCCCUGGAGAAUAAGGAAAAAAGUAAAAACACCAUGAGGAAACAAUCAAGCACAUUCAGAUGUAGAACGUUCUGUAAGGCAGCUGAUCUGGACUUUCAAAAAAGUCAAUGUCAUGAAAAACAAAAAAUGACUAGGUGGAGAGGACUGUUCUAGAUUAAAAAAGACUAGAGAGACAUAACCAAACAUAAUGCACAACUGUAAUCAAAUCCUGUAUUUUAAAAAAUGACCAUAAAAUGCAUUUCAGAGAACAAUAACCCAAAGGAUAUUUAAACACAGACUGCAUAUUGGAUAUUAUGGAACUAUUAAUUUCUCAGUUGCUAGGAUAUUAGUAUGGUUGGUAGGAGACUGUCAUUCUUAGGCAAUGUAUGCUGAAAUAUUAAGAGAAGAAAUAUAAUGAUGUCUACAACUUAUUUUCAAAUGGGGAUGAAAAGCAUACAACCAAAAAAAAAAAACCAAACAAACAAAAAUAAAUACAGUCAAUUCCAACUCAUAGCGACCCUACACUACAGAGUAGAACUGCCCCGGGUUUCCAAGGCUGUAAUCCUUACAGAACCAGACUUCCACAUCUUUCUUCUACAGACCAUCUGGUGGGUUUGAACCACCGACCUUUAGGUUAACAGCCAAGUGCUUAACCACUGUGCCCACAGGGGUUCCUUCUGAAAACUAUAUAAAUAUUAUACAUAUAUAUGCAUAUGGAAAGAGAAAGAGUAGAAAGAAACUGGGAAAACAUUAAACAAUUUGUGAAUCUAACCUUCAAACUUUUCUGUAAAUUUGAGUUUUUUUUUUAACUAAAAAGCUAGGGGAAGAACUCCCCUGAGAUAUGUACUCAUAAGCCUGUGCCUCGCACAAAUUUUAGUCCUCUCUCUUCAUGUGGUCCUUCUCUUCCCAUGGUUUCUUAUCUUCAAGGCAGCAGGGCCCCAAGAGAGCUAAAGCAGACACUGCAAGGCAGGACAUCUAAAGGAGAAAAGAUAACCUCUCAACCAACAAAAGAAGUCAGACAAAAGUAAAACUCAAAGUACUAAGAGGAAACAGCUAUUAAACUAAAUGCAAUCAUGCAAGAAAAAAAAAAAAAAGCAAGAGUAAGCAUAAAA